CUACCCAAGACGAGUGAUGGGUUGGGGUUCAGAAGCCUGCACUCAAUUAACCUCACUAUGCUUGCAAGACAUGCAUGUAUGCUGCUACAAGCCCCGGAUUCCCUAUGCGCCCGAGUGCUGAAAGCAAAGUACUACCCACCGGGGAGCAUUCUGACAACUGAGCCAUGUGCCGAUAGGUGUUACACACAGAGAAGCAUUCUUAAAGGCAUAUAUAUUGUGAAGGAGAGGUACAUCUGGAGGGCUGGCUCCGGGGAAAGCAUCAAAAUGUGGUCGGACCAUUGGAUCCCAAAUGACGAGAUGAGAGAACUAACUACCACACAAGGUGCUAAACUAGCUAUCUAA
rnacentral:rRNA from 1 species